rnacentral:rRNA from 1 species
UACGUAGGGGGCGAGCGUUGUCCGGAUUUACUGGGCGUAAAGAGCGCGUAGGUGGUCUGAAGAGUCGGCUGUGAAAUCUCUGGGCCCAACCCAGAGGGGUCGGCCGAGACCUCCAGACUCGAGGGUGGUAGAGGAAGGUGGAAUUCCGGGUGUAGUGGUGAAAUGCGUAGAGAUCCGGAGGAACACCAGUGGCGAAGGCGGCCUUCUGGGCCACACCUGACGCUGAGGCGCGAAAGCGUGGGGAGCGAACCGA